rnacentral:rRNA from 1 species
UACGAAGGGGGCUAGCGUUGCUCGGAAUUACUGGGCGUAAAGCGCACGUAGGCGGCUACUCAAGUCAGAGGUGAAAGCCCAGGGCUCAACCUUGGAACUGCCUUUGAAACUAGGUAGCUAGAAUUCUGGAGAGGUCAGUGGAAUUCCGAGUGUAGAGGUGAAAUUCGUAGAUAUUCGGAAGAAUACCAGUGGCGAAGGCGACUGACUGGACAGAUAUUGACGCUGAGGUGCGAAAGCGUGGGGAGCAAACAGG